CCUACGGGGGGCAGCAGUGGGGAAUAUUGCACAAUGGGCGCAAGCCUGAUGCAGCCAUGCCGCGUGUGUGAAGAAGGCCUUCGGGUUGUAAAGCACUUUCAGCGGGGAGGAAGGCGUUAAGGUUAAUAACCUUGGCGAUUGACGUUACCCGCAGAAGAAGCACCGGCUAACUCCGUGCCAGCAGCCGCGGUAAUACGGAGGGUGCAAGCGUUAAUCGGAAUUACUGGGCGUAAAGCGCACGCAGGCGGUCUGUCAAGUCGGAUGUGAAAUCCCCGGGCUCAACCUGGGAACUGCAUUCGAAACUGGCAGGCUAGAGUCUUGUAGAGGGGGGUAGAAUGCCAGGUGUAGCGGUGAAAUGCGUAGAGAUCUGGAGGAAUACCGGCGGCGAAGGCGGCCCCCUGGACAAAGACUGACGCUCAGGUGCGAAAGCGUGGGGAGCAAACAGGAUUAGAUACCCCAGUAGUC
rnacentral:rRNA from 1 species